UACAGAGGGGGCAAGCGUUGUUCGGAAUUAUUGGGCGUAAAGGGCGCGCAGGCGGCCUGGCAAGUCGAAGGUGAAAUCCCUCGGCUUAACCGAGGAACUGCCCUCCAAACUGCUUGGCUUGAGUCCGGGAGAGGUGAGUGGAAUUCCCAGUGUAGCGGUGAAAUGCGUAGAUAUUGGGAGGAACACCAGUGGCGAAGGCGGCUCACUGGACCGGAACUGACGCUGAGGCGCGAAAGCGUGGGGAGCAAACGGG
rnacentral:rRNA from 1 species